AAACCAUGAUAUGGACACUUGCACAACAUUAACUUAAAGUGCUCUCAUGCCUCAUAUAAUGACUCUUUUUCCAAUUGUCAAAAAUUUGUAAUAUCCAUACAAAGUUU
rfam:Gossypium raimondii Chr07_contig_883, whole genome shotgun sequence.